UAAAAGUCGUAACAAGGUUUCCGUAGGUGAACCUGCGGAAGGAUCAUUAGUGAAUAUAGGAUGUCCAACUUAACUUGGAGUCCGAACUCUCACUUUCUAACCCUGUGCAUUUGUUUGGGAUAGUAGCCUCUCGGGGUGAACUCCUAUUCACUUAUAAACACAAAGUCUAUGAAUGUAUUUAAUUUAUAACAAAAUAAAACUUUCAACAACGGAUCUCUUGGCUCUCGCAUCGAUGAAGAACGCAGCGAAAUGCGAUAAGUAAUGUGAAUUGCAGAAUUCAGUGAAUCAUCGAAUCUUUGAACGCACCUUGCGCUCCAUGGUAUUCCGUGGAGCAUGCCUGUUUGAGUGUCAUGAAUACUUCAACCCUCCUCUUUUCUAGUGAAAGAGAAGGUGCUUGGUUUCUGAGCGUUUUGCUGGCCUCACGGUCGAGCUCGCUCGUAAUGCAUUAGCAUCCGCAAUCGAACUUCGGAUUGACUUGGCGUAAUAGACUAUUCGCUGAGGAAUUCUAAUCUUCGGAUUAGAGCCGGGUUAGGUUAAAGGAAGCUUCUAAUCCUAAUGUCUAUAUUUUAAGAUUAGAUCUCAAAUCAGGUAGGACUACCCGCUGAACUUAAGCAUAUCA
rnacentral:rRNA from 1 species